GACGGAGGAUGCAAGUGUUAUCCGGAAUCACUGGGCGUAAAGCGUCUGUAGGUGGUUUAAUAAGUCAACUGUUAAAUCUUGAGGCUCAACCUCAAAAUCGCAGUCGAAACUAUUAGGCUAGAGUAUAGUAGGGGUAAAGGGAAUUUCCAGUGGAGCGGUGAAAUGCGUAGAGAUUGGAAAGAACACCGAUGGCGAAGGCAGCCCCCUGGGUCAAGAUUGACGCUUAUGCACGAAAGCGUGGGGAGCAAACAGG
rnacentral:rRNA from 1 species